GCGAACGCUGGCGGCCGGCCUCACCCCUGCCCGUCGAACGAACUCUUCGGAGUUAGUGGCGGACGGGUGAGUAACACGUGGGAACGUGCCUUUUGGUUCGGAAUAACUCAGGGAAACUUGUGCUAAUACCGAAUGUGCCCUUCGGGGGAAAGAUUUAUCGCCAUUAGAGCGGCCCGCGUCUGAUUAGCUAGUUGGUGAGGUAACGGCUCACCAAGGCGACGAUCAGUAGCUGGUCUGAGAGGAUGACCAGCCACACUGGGACUGAGACACGGCCCAGACUCCUACGGGAGGCAGCAGUGGGGAAUCUUGCGCAAUGGGCGAAAGCCUGACGCAGCCAUGCCGCGUGAAUGAUGAAGGUCUUAGGAUUGUAAAAUUCUUUCACCGGGGACGAUAAUGACGGUACCCGGAGAAGAAGCCCCGGCUAACUUCGUG
rnacentral:rRNA from 1 species